rnacentral:rRNA from 1 species
AGCGAACGCUGGCGGCAGGCCUAACACAUGCAAGUCGAACGAACCUUCCGGGGUUAGUGGCGGCCGGGUGAGUAACCGGUGGGGACGGUCACUUAGGUUCGGCCUAACUCAAGGACAGUGGUGCUAACACCGAAUGUGCCCUACGGCGGGAAGAUUAAGCGACUUUCGAGGGGCCCGGGUCUGAUUGGCUAGUGGGUUGAGGUAAUGGCUCACCAAGGCGGCGCUCAGUAGCUGGUAGGGACGGAUGAUCAGCCAACGGGGGACUGAGACACGGCCCAAACACCUACGGGAGGCAGCAGUGGGGAGUCUUGCGCAGUGGGCGAAAGCGGGCCGCAGCCAGGCAGCGUGAAUGAUGAAGGACGAAGGAUUGUAAAAUUAUCUCACCAGGGACGAUAAGGACGGUACCAGGAGAAGACGCCUAGCCUCACG